GACGAACGCUGGCGGCGUGCUUAACACAUGCAAGUCGAACGGAAAGGCCCUGCUUUUGUGGGGUGCUCGAGUGGCGAACGGGUGAGUAACACGUGAGUAACCUGCCCUUGACUUUGGGAUAACUUCAGGAAACUGGGGCUAAUACCGGAUAGGAGCUCCUGCUGCAUGGUGGGGGUUGGAAAGUUUCGGCGGUUGGGGAUGGACUCGCGGCUUAUCAGCUUGUUGGUGGGGUAGUGGCUUACCAAGGCUUUGACGGGUAGCCGGCCUGAGAGGGUGACCGGCCACAUUGGGACUGAGACACGGUCCAGACUCCUACGGGAGGCAGCAGUGGGGAAUAUUGGACAAUGGGCGCAAGCCUGAUCCAGCCAUACCGCGUGGGUGAAGAAGGCCUUCGGGUUGUAAAGCCCUUUUGUUGGGAAAGAAAAGCAGCAGGUUAAUACCCCGCUGUUCUGACGGUACCCAAAGAAUAAGCACCGGCUAACUUCGUG
rnacentral:rRNA from 1 species